rnacentral:lncRNA from 1 species
CGGAAGUGGGGCUCACAAAGCGGGACGGGGGCGGGGGGAGCCAGAGGGGCACUCGGCACCAGGGACAAAGCCCCCUCGGUGUCGUGGCCCAGGCCUGUGCGCCCACCCCCAGCUCUGUUCCCCACGCUCGGACUGUGGGCUGGCAGGGGUGAGGCCCUGGAGCUGGCUCCUCCCGGGGGCCCGGAGUCUGGGGAGGGGAUGAGCCCACAUGGGAGGAAGCCCCCUGCCCAGCAGCCUGCGCCCCCCACCUUUGCCCACCGAGUGCUCGCGGCCCGGUGAGCCCUGCUGGACCGUGGCCCGUCCCAGCCCUGGAGCCCGUGCAGUGCCCACCCCCAUCCCGCCUCUUCCCCAGAAGCUGGACCCAGGGCGGCCGCCAGUCCCGCGGGCUCCUGGUCGUCGGCUCCCCCUGCCCUCAGCUGCCUGGGGGGUGGUCCCGGGUCAGGUGGGUGUGGGGCAGGGACUGGAACAGGGUGUGGUCUGGCCAGUGUCCCGCCCAAGUGUCAGGCCUGGGGGCCCGGCUGGGGCUGUGGGGGUAGCUGCGGGGGGCCAGUGUGGGCCUGGGCCCUGCGGCCGACGCUGGGGGCUGCUGCUGAGGCUCCCAGGCGCAUCGUCCGUCCACGCGUGGUGGCGCCUGCCCCGGGAGCCCCUCCUUGGGGCACCCCCCCACCGCAUGUGUCCUUCACGCUGGGACACCCCCCCCUUCCUGCUCCCGGGCUGCAGCUGGGAAGGGUGGAGAGCCUGGGGAGGGAGGAGGCCGGGGUGGGCCAGGGGCUGGGCUGAGCCGGUGACGACCGAGGGAAAGGGGCCGUCAGAAGCCCCGGGCUCUUGUGGCUGCGGCAGGACCACGGGGGGACCCAGGGAUGCCCCCCUCGCCCAGGAGAAGGUCGGUGACUGGCCUGGGGUCCUGGGGGGCUGGGUGGGCGAGGAGGGCCACCAGGGGCCUGCCCAGGCCUGUGACGUGAGGGGGCCUUGCCUUCUGGCCAAGGCCCGGGGCCAGGAGGGCAGGUGGUGCCCAGAGGACCCUGGUUCAAGGCCGUGACCCCCGUGCCCCGGGAAGGGGUCCCACCGAGCAGGGGGCCUGGAGGGGACUCCCAGGCACUGCCGUCCAGCCCCACACGCCCCACAGACACCCAUGGGCUCAGCACUUCUGCGACCUCCCUGGGUGUGACAUCGUGUGCAGCCCGGAGAUGGAAGGGUGACCC